rnacentral:rRNA from 1 species
UACGGAGGAUCCAAGCGUUAUCCGGAAUCAUUGGGUUUAAAGGGUCCGUAGGCGGUCUAGUAAGUCAGUGGUGAAAGCCCAUCGCUCAACGGUGGAACGGCCAUUGAUACUGCUGGACUUGAAUUAUUGGGAAGCAACUAGAAUAUGUAGUGUAGCGGUGAAAUGCUUAGAGAUUACAUGGAAUACCAAUUGCGAAGGCAGGUUGCUACCAAUUGAUUGACGCUGAUGGACGAAAGCGUGGGGAGCGAACAGG